CAAUAGCGUAUAUUAAAGUUGUUGCAGUUAAAAAGCUCGUAGUUGAACCUUGGGUCUGGCUGGCGGGUCCGCCUCACCGCGUGCACUUGUCCGGCUGGACCUUUCCUUCUGGAGAACCUCAUGCCCUUUACUGGGUGUGUUGGGGAACCAGGACUUUUACUUUGAAAAAUUAGAGUGUUCAAAGCAGGCCUUUGCUCGAAUACGUUAGCAUGGAAUAAUAGAAUAGGACGUGCGAUCCUAUUUUGUUGGUUUUUAGGAUUGCCGUAAUGAUUAAUAGGGAUAGUCGGGGGCAUCAGUAUUCAAUUGUCAGAGGUGAAAUUCUUGGAUUUAUUGAAGACUAACUACUGCGAAAGCAUUUGCCAAGGAUGUUUUCAUUAAUCAGUGAACGAAAGUUAGGGGAUCGAAGAUGAUUAGAUACCGU
rnacentral:rRNA from 1 species